rnacentral:rRNA from 1 species
UGCCAGCAGCCGCGGUAAUACGGAGGGUGCAAACGUUGCUCGGAAUUAUUGGGCGUAAAGCGCGUGUAGGCGGCUUGUUAAGUCGGAUGUGAAAGCCCUGGGCUCAACCCAGGAAGUGCGUUCGAUACUGGCGAGCUUGAGUACGGGAGAGGGUAGCGGAAUUCCCGGUGUAGAGGUGAAAUUCGUAGAUAUCGGGAGGAACACCAGUGGCGAAGGCGGCUACCUGGACCGAUACUGACGCUGAGACGCGAAAGCGUGGGGAGCAAACAGGAUUAGAUA